rnacentral:rRNA from 1 species
GAUGAACGCUGGCGGCGUGCCUAAUACAUGCAAGUCGAGCGAACAGAUGAGGAGCUUGCUCCUCUGACGUUAGCGGCGGACGGGUGAGUAACACGUGGAUAACCUACCUAUAAGACUGGGAUAACGUCGGGAAACCGGAGCUAAUACCGGAUAAUAUAUUGAACCGCAUGGUUCAAUAGUGAAAGACGGUUUUGCUGUCACUUAUAGAUGGAUCCGCGCCGCAUUAGCUAGUUGGUAAGGUAACGGCUUACCAAGGCAACGAUGCGUAGCCGACCUGAGAGGGUGAUCGGCCACACUGGAACUGAGACACGGUCCAGACUCCUACGGGAGGCAGCAGUAGGGAAUCUUCCGCAAUGGGCGAAAGCCUGACGGAGCAACGCCGCGGGAGUGAUGAAGGUCUUCGGCUCGUAAAACUCUGUUAUUAGGGAAGAACAAAUGUGUAAGUAACUAUGCACGUCUUGACGGUACCUAAUCAGAAAGCCACGGCUAACUACGUG